CGGAUGAACGCUAGCGGCGGGCCUAAUACAUGCAAGUCGAACGGGAUUGUUGGUAGUAAUACUGACAUGAGAGUGGCGCACGGGUGCGUAACACGUAUGUAACCUACCUUUAACAGGGGGAUAGCUUCGAGAAAUCGAAAUUAAUACCCCAUAACAUUUAGAAGAGGCAUCUCUUUUUUAUCAAAGCUCCGGCGGUUAAAGAUGGACAUGCGGUGCAUUAGCUAGUUGGUGAGGUAACGGCCCACCAAGUCUGCGAUCGGUAGCCGGACUGAGAGGUUGAUCGGCCACAUUGGGACUGAGACACGGCCCAGACUCCUACGGGAGGCAGCAGUGGGGGAUAUUGCACAAUGGAGGAAACUCUGAUGCAGCGACGCCGCGUGAGGGAAGAAGGUCUUCGGAUUGUAAACCUCUGUCUUCAGGGACGAAACAAAUGACGGUACCUGAAGAGGAAGCCACGGCUAACUACGUG
rnacentral:rRNA from 1 species